rnacentral:misc_RNA from 1 species
CAACCCUCAAGCAUUGCUUGGUAUUGGGCUCCGCUGGGUGAACAGCGGGCCUUAAAAUUAGUGGCAGUGCCGUCGGGCCCUGAGCGUAGUAAAUAUCCUCGCUACAGGGACCUGGUGACGCUGGCCAUCAACCCCCAACUUUCUAA